UACGGCAGUGGCGGGGUCAGUGCCGCCAUCGCCAUUGCCGCCGGUGGUGCUGACGGUUACCGCGCAAGUUGCUGUCUUGCUGCCGUCC
rnacentral:tRNA from 1 species